rnacentral:lncRNA from 1 species
CCAGAAAUCAGCCUUCAAGGACUUAGCCAAAUUUUCAGCUUUUUCACCGUUUUAGCUCCGUUUUCGCUCGUUUUCGCUCGUUUGACCUCCGAUUCAUUUCAAAUCGAACCGAUACUCUCCAAACAUGUUUUCGAACAUGUUUUCAUCAUCUUUUCAUCCACGCUAAUGCCGGAUUUAACUCACGGUCCAACAUAGCCUUUCGGCUCCGUUUUCGCGCCCUAUGCGCACCGAAGCACCCGAAUGCUCCCGAACU